CGAAUAAUUCAGAUAUAUUAGCUUUAUAGGCUGUUUAAACAAUAUGUUGCGUGUACGUGUACUCGAUGGAGCAAGAAUUUCGAAUAAUAGAAUAAGAAAAAACGGAAGUCGUAGCCUAAUUUUACUGGGGAAGAACAUUAGACAUAAAUACUGGUAGCUUAUUCUCGUUAAAAGGUACACUUUAAACACGACACUUUUAUAUACAACCGACGGAACUAUUUGGUAAGUUAUACAUCAUUUAAUAAAACCAUUCGACUGAAUUCAGCAGAAAUCUCAUUUCUUUUCAAUUAUAUACCUAGUGGCAUAUAUGUAACAAUCACGUUGCUCGAUUUAUCGAAUCGUGGUACACUGUGGUUUACGAUCCAUCUAGAUCUAUUUGGGUGGUCGUUUAGGACAGCAAUUUCGUCAUCAGAUCAUCUACAAUACGGUAAAAUCCAUCGGGUUUGUAUGUAAACACCGUAUCAUCAAGAGUACAAAAACAUCAAGUUCUAUUACGUAACCGAAACGAUAGGAAUUAGAAUGGGGGAAAAGCAAAACCAUUAUAUUUUCUUGUGCCCUGCGUGUGCUGUGUGUGUUUCUAACGAUAUCGAAUAUAUAUCGGCAAGAAAACACAUUUCAUUGAUUCACGUGGACGACUUAUUUUCCAUUCAUUUAUAUAAAAAGUCAAACAUGAAAAGCAUUUAUGGAGUUCUUUUUCAAAACGGGUGGAAGCAACAAACUUUUAUCUUUUCUCAACCGUUUUAUUAAUUAAACUGUCUCUUAUCUUCAUUUACUUACUAGUCGAAUCGGAACCUAUUCAUUAAAUUGCUCGGUAUAGAAGAGGUUAAGUAGCAUCCCCCUUUUCGCCGUCCAUUUACAGCUAUUGCUAUCCAGAGAUGCCAUCGCGGCUCUUUCCCCAGAGAUACCUCACAUCUGCUUCUCCCUCUCUUCACAGACACGCGAAUGCCGGAACUGACGAAAGUACUGUUUGACACAAUCGCAGAUGGAAAGUUUUUACAUCAUUCGCUACCAUUCAAAUACAGUAUGUACCGUCUAACUUCAGCUUCUGUGCAUUCUCUCAAAUGCCGGAUUUCUCUACGCACGAAUGCCAAAGUAAAUAAUAAAGAAACGACUCGAGAUCGUUUGCAUGUCAUAUAAUCCCGCAAUUAGUAAACGUCCUUUUCUAGAUCAUUUUAUAAUACUAGAUUAAUUCCGAACUCUAGAACACGCUUAACAAGUGGUCUGCUUUAAUGUUUAUGGCUGUCAAAUGGUAAAAAGAAUCUAUAAUUAGCGCUUUAGCUGUUUAAUUCCCUUAGUUGAGAGGAAAAAAAUGAAAAAAGCUUUUUAGUCUAGUGCUUUUUUUUAUGGCGCACAGAGUAAGAAAAGUGUCGAUGAAAUGAGUAAUUUGCUUGUUUACUAUCAACUUCUGACUAGACAAUUCCGUUCCAGAUUGACGGGAGAGAGUUUUUGCAAUGAAGAGAACAGUAAUUCCCUGGAAGGGGGAACUUAUUAGAUUGGGUAAUCUCCUGUGGGAGUCAGAUAUCAAGCUGGAUUUAACUUUGCCCAACUUUAAUUACUACAAACUGAAUGAUUGGUAGCGCUGUACUCACCUUCGGGAAUUAGGACCAGAUAUGUGUCUUUUCUGUAUUUGGAAAAAUCGUUCUGAAAACUUGAACUAUUACGUCUGCGAUUAGAUUGAUGGGUCGUGGGAUCUUUAUGUCUUUUCAUUAAAUUCGUUCAUAUAUUUUUUUUUAUAUAUUAUAUAUUUUAUUUUUCUUUUUUCCCCAUCAUGCUGCC
rnacentral:lncRNA from 1 species